UACGGGGGGGGCAAGCGUUGUUCGGAAUUAUUGGGCGUAAAGGGCUCGUAGGCGGUUUGUCGCGUCGGGAGUGAAAAUCCAGGGCUUAACUCUGGACUGGCUUUCGAUACGGGCAGACUAGAGGUAUGCAGGGGAGAACGGAAUUCCUGGUGUAGCGGUGAAAUGCGUAGAGACCGGGAAGAACACCAGUGGCGAAGGCGGCUACCUGGACAGGUACUGACGCUGAAGCGCGAAAGCUAGGGGAGCAAACAGG
rnacentral:rRNA from 1 species